rnacentral:lncRNA from 1 species
GAAAGCGAUGCCAACUUAAAUCUUUGCUUUGUUGGUCUGGUUUUUAUUUCUUUCUUUUCAUUUUCCCAUAAUUAAAUGUGCCAUAGUACAGGUUUUACUUCCCCAUGUCAAUCGCGAGCAAGUGAAAACAGGAGAAGGGGUGACCUUGCGCUUCCACUCAUUGGUUUGUUUUGUAAAAAGGAUUUAUUGCAGAAAAAAUAUGAGGCUUGCUGGUAGUAUUCCCAGGUGACAAAUGUGCACCCAACACCCUACAGAAAAGAAGAACCAUAAAAUAAUUAAUUAUUCCAUUGUAACUCCUGCCUGGAAAACAUCUGGAAGAAGUCACUAGAUUCAGCCCACAUUCAAGAUGAGAAAUACCAGAAGGCAGAGAACACUGAGGCUGUUUUAGAGGCUGUCAACCCCAGGGAGACAGACAGCAAAUAAGUAAGCAAAUAAAUAAAAAUGGAAGGUGAUAAUAAGUGCAAUGAAAAGAAAUGAAGCAGAGUAAAGAAUCAAGAGUAGCAGUUGAGGGGAUGCUUGGAUGUUUUCACACCACUCUGACACAUGGAUGGAAGGUUAGAAGACAACAAAGGAAUGGGCUGGGAAGGACUCCAAAAGCAGAAUCAGAGAUUAUAUCAUUCCUUGGAAAUGGAGAAAAGGAUCAAAAAAGCUGAAUAAAAGGCAAACAUGGAGGAACAGAGUUUGGAGCAAUACCCUGACUUACAUUCAGUACUGUUAAUGGCUCCAGCAUCUUGAAACAAACCAAUUUUGGAUUUUCAGGCGCUGUCCAAGAUGACGUGAACUCCAGGCUAUUGACUUUCCUCUACCUUCAAUGGAAAUUGUCAUGGAGAAUUAAGUUUUUGACAAAUCUACAGCCUAUGUGCAGGGCUUCUUCCUGGGUGUAACAAUAAGGAAUUUGGAAACUGUCUCUAGUUUUGGCCUGGAGUCACACUGCAGCUUGAGACCCUGUCAUUUCCAUCAAGCUUGAAAAUAUACAUCUUAAUAAACUGCAAUACUUCUUAAACCUUGUUAAUUGUUAUUCUUGAGAAGUCGGCUCUCAGCUGGAAUAUCAUUGGAUCUAGAAGCUUCAUCAGAUUUAGGUAUGGACGUUAUUUUG